rnacentral:tRNA from 1 species
GUCAGGAUGGCCGAGUGGUCUAAGGCGCCAGACUCAAGACAUCAAUGUCUUCUCCUAUACUGGGGAUUCUGGUCUCCGAAUGGAGGCGUGGGUUCAAAUCCCACUUCUGACA